AAAAACUCGGGUGGUGUAAGAUGGACCCGCGUCUGAUUAGCUGGUUGGUGAGGUAACGGCUCACCAAGGCGACGAUCAGUAGCCGGCCUGAGAGGGUGAACGGCCACAUUGGGACUGAGACACGGCCCAAACUCCUACGGGAGGCAGCAGUGGGGAAUAUUGCACAAUGGGGGAAACCCUGAUGCAGCAACGCCGCGUGAGUGAAGAAGUCAUUCGUGAUGUAAAGCUCUAUCAGCAGGGAAGAAAAUGACGGUACCUGACUAAGAAGCCCCGGCUAACUACGUGCCAGCAGCCGCGGUAAUACGUAGGGGGCAAGCGUUAUCCGGAUUUACUGGGUGUAAAGGGAGCGUAGACGGCGGCGCAAGUCUGAAGUGAAAUGCCAGUGCUCAACACUGGAACUGCUUUGGAAACUGUGUGGCUAGAGUGCAGGAGAGGUAAGUGGAAUUCCUAGUGUAGCGGUGAAAUGCGUAGAUAUUAGGAGGAACACCAGUGGCGAAGGCGGCUUACUGGACUGUAACUGACGUUGAGGCUCGAAGGCGUGGGGAGCAAACAGGAUUAGAUACCCUGGUAGUCCACGCGGUAAACGAUGAAUACUAGGUGUCGGGGGGCUAUAGCCCUUCG
rnacentral:rRNA from 1 species